UCCCGUUUAGCUCAGUUGGUAGAGCGCGUCACUAGUACGAAUGAGUCGUGCAAUGACGAGGUCAGUCGUUCGAGUCGGCUAAUGGGAA
rnacentral:tRNA from 1 species